rnacentral:rRNA from 1 species
AUCGGGGACUGACAUUAGAUACCCGUGUAGUCCAGGGUGUAAACGCUGCAGACUUGGUGUUGGAGGCCCUUUGGGGGCAUUCAGUGCCGGAGAGAAGUUGUUAAGUCUGCUACUUGGGGAGUACGUCCGCAAGGAUGAAACUUAAAGGAAUUGGCGGGGGAGCACCGCAACGGGAGGAGCGUGCGGUUUAAUUGGAUUCAACACCGUAAACUCACCAGGGAAGACUGUUACAUGAAGGCCGAGAUGAAGACUCUGCUAGAUUUUCAG